rnacentral:tRNA from 1 species
UUAAUAGAAGCCAAAUUUAAGGCAAAUUAUUGUUAAUAAUUUAUUGGAAACUAUCCCUAUUAAG